AUGUGGUUGGGGCUGCACUGGGUUUUCUUGGUUGUUCUUUUAAAAGGUGUCCAUUGUAAGGUGCAGCUGGUUGAGUCUGGAGGAGGAUUGGUGCAGCCUAAAGCAGCAUUGAAACUGUCAUGUGCAGCCUCUGGAUUCACCAUCAGUGACUUUACCAUACACUGGAUCCGCCAGGCUCCAGGGAAAGGUCUUGAAUGGGUUGCCAGUAUAAGAAGUAAAGAUUAUAAUUCUCAAACAUAUUAUGCUGAUUCGGUGAAAGACAGAUUCACCAUCUCCAGAGAUGAUUCCCAAAGCAUGGCCUACCUGCAAGUGAACAGUCUUAAAACUGAGGACACAGCCUCGUAUUACUGUGCAAGACACACACUGAGGCGUCUUCACUAUGAGCCCAGAACUUCAGCACAGGAGUCCUGCAAGGAGUUUGACUCAGAAAACUUCCUCAGUUUCUCUGUGAAUUGGCUGAGGCACGAGCAUGGACUUGAGCUUGAAUGGAUUGGAAACACACCCCCAAGCACUGGCAGAACAUACUAUGGACAUAAGUUUCAGGACAGAGCCACCCUGGAUGUAGACAUCGUCUCCGACACAGACUCCUUGGAGCACAGCAACUGUCAUCUGAGGACUCUGCCGUCUAUUGCUGUACGAGGCUCAGUGUCAGCUCACAUCUGA